rnacentral:lncRNA from 1 species
ACUGAGCGUCUUGUUGUGGAGACCAGAUGCAAUGCCUGGGCCUCCUGCUCCAGCUCCCAUCCAGCCCUGGGUCAAAGCCUGCAGGCGAAGGACAGGACAGCAGAGUGAGCUCCAGGAUGUGGAGGAAGGAAGAUGAGAACAACAACCCAAGAGGUGCUGGUCCAGGCUCCAGACAUACAGAGAAGAAUGAAGCAUAAUCCCUGCCCUGAAGGGUUUCACAGCCUGUUGAUCAGGAAGACAUGUGGAAAGAUACAUAAUAACACCAAAUAUCGCAGGAGCACUGGUCAGAUGCUGGGUGGUUGCCAGACAAGCGAGCCAGAGGAACACGAAGGCCCUGCCAUCGAGGAGCGUGCCAGAUCUCAGGGCCCCUAGACCAGGAGUCCUUCAGGGGGGCCUGCCACACUCCUCAUGUUUCAAAAUGAAUUUCCAUGCUUAACAUUACACCGUCUGUCAAGU